AUUGAACGCUGGCGGCAUGCUUUACACAUGCAAGUCGAACGGUAACAGGCCGCAAGGUGCUGACGAGUGGCGAACGGGUGAGUAAUGCAUCGGAACGUGCCCAGUCGUGGGGGAUAACUGCUCGAAAGAGCAGCUAAUACCGCAUACGAUCUAUGGAUGAAAGCGGGGGACCGUAAGGCCCCGCGCGAUUGGAGCGGCCGAUGUCAGAUUAGGUAGUUGGUGGGGUAAAGGCGCACCAAGCCAACGAUCUGUAGCUGGUCUGAGAGGACGACCAGCCACACUGGGACUGAGACACGGCCCAGACUCCUACGGGAGGCAGCAGUGGGGAAUUUUGGACAAUGGGGGCAACCCUGAUCCAGCAAUGCCGCGUGCAGGAAGAAGGCCUUCGGGUUGUAAACUGCUUUUGUACGGAACGAAACGGUCUGGGUUAAUACCCUGGGCUAAUGACGGUACCGUAAGAAUAAGCACCGGCUAACUACGUGCCAGCAGCCGCCGUAAGAC
rnacentral:rRNA from 1 species